rfam:Myotis brandtii contig325125, whole genome shotgun sequence.
CCAACGUGGGUACCCCAUGAGGCUCUAUCCAGGCAACUAGAGGAGCACAGGGCUAGGCCCCAGGAAGUACCCGCUCCUUUUCACACCAUUGGAGAGAAAGCCAGGCCUUGAGUCUGUGCCACUUUUCCUACUGGUUCUCCGAGUCCUGUGGACAAUGACUGAGGAGACAACCAUGUGGGACACAUCU